rnacentral:rRNA from 1 species
GAUGAACGCUGACAGAAUGCUUAACACAUGCAAGUCAACUUGAAUUUGGGUUUUUUAACUUAGAUUUGGGUGGCGGACGGGUGAGUAACGCGUAAAGAACUUGCCUCACAGCUAGGGACAACAUUUGGAAACGAAUGCUAAUACCUGAUAUUAUGAUUAUAAGGCAUCUUAGAAUUAUGAAAGCUAUGUGCGCUGUGAGAGAGCUUUGCGUCCCAUUAGCUAGUUGGAGAGGUAACGGCUCACCAAGGCGAUGAUGGGUAGCCGGCCUGAGAGGGUGAACGGCCACAAGGGGACUGAGACACGGCCCUUACUCCUACGGGAGGCAGCAGUGGGGAAUAUUGGACAAUGGACCAAGAGUCUGAUCCAGCAAUUCUGUGUGCACGAUGACGUUUUUCGGAAUGUAAAGUGCUUUCAGUUGGGAAGAAAAAAAUGACGGUACCAACAGAAGAAGUGACGGCUAAAUACGUG